GUCGAACGAUGAUCUCCGGCUUGCUGGGGGGAUUAGUGGCGAACGGGUGAGUAACACGUGAGUAACCUGCCCUUGACUCUGGGAUAAGCCUGGGAAACUGGGUCUAAUACUGGAUACGACCUUCCCACGCAUGUGGUGUUGGUGGAAAGCUUUUGUGGUUUUGGAUGGACUCGCGGCCUAUCAGCUUGUUGGUGGGGUAAUGGCCUACCAAGGCGACGACGGGUAGCCGGCCUGAGAGGGUGGACGGCCACACUGGGACUGAGACACGGCCCAGACUCCUACGGGAGGCAGCAGUGGGGAAUAUUGCACAAUGGGCGCAAGCCUGAUGCAGCGACGCCGCGUGAGGGAUGAAGGCCUUCGGGUUGUAAACCUCUUUCAGUAGGGAAGAAGCGAAAGUGACGGUACCUGCAGAAGAAGCGCCGGCUAACUACGUGCCAGCAGCCGCGGUAAUACGUAGGGCGCAAGCGUUAUCCGGAAUUAUUGGGCGUAAAGAGCUCGUAGGCGGUUUGUCGCGUCUGCCGUGAAAGUCCGGGGCUUAACUCCGGAUCUGCGGUGGGUACGGGCAGACUUGAGUGAUGUAGGGGAGACUGGAAUUCCUGGUGUAGCGGUGAAAUGCGCAGAUAUCAGGAGGAACACCGAUGGCGAAGGCAGGUCUCUGGGCAUUAACUGACGCUGAGGAGCGAAAGCAUGGGGAGCGAACAGGAUUAGAUACCCUGGUAGUCCAUGCCGUAAACGUUGGGCACUAGGUGU
rnacentral:rRNA from 1 species